GACGAACGCUGGCGGCGUGCUUAACACAUGCAAGUCGAACGGAAAGGCCCUGCUUUUGUGGGGUGCUCGAGUGGCGAACGGGUGAGUAACACGUGAGUAACCUGCCCUUUACUUUGGGAUAACUUCAGGAAACUGGGGCUAAUACCGGAUAGGAGCUCCUGCUGCAUGGUGGGGGUUGGAAAGUUUCGGCGGUUGGGGAUGGACUCGCGGCUUAUCAGCUUGUUGGUGGGGUAGUGGCUUACCAAGGCUUUGACGGGUAGCCGGCCUGAGAGGGUGACCGGCCACAUUGGGGCUGAGAUACGGCCCAGACUCCUACGGGAGGCAGCAGUGGGGAAUAUUGCACAAUGGGCGGAAGCCUGAUGCAGCAACGCCGCGUGCGGGAUGAAGGCCUUCGGGUUGUAAACCGCUUUCGCCUGUGACGAAGCGUGAGUGACGGUAAUGGGUAAAGAAGCACCGGCUAACUACGUG
rnacentral:rRNA from 1 species